UACAGAGGUCCCAAGCGUUGUUCGGAUUCACUGGGCGUAAAGGGGGCGUAGGCGGUCGGGUAAGUCUGACGGGAAAUCUUCAAGCUCAACUUGGAAACUGCGUCCGAAACUAUUCGGCUAGAGGAAUGGAGGGGAGACUGGAAUACUUGGUGUAGCAGUGAAAUGCGUAGAUAUCAAGUGGAACACCAGUGGCGAAGGCGAGUCUCUGGACAUUUCCUGACGCUGAGGCACGAAAGCCAGGGGAGCAAACGGG
rnacentral:rRNA from 1 species